GACGAACGCUGGCGGCGUGCUUAACACAUGCAAGUCGAACGGUGAAGCUCCAGCUUGCUGGAGUGGAUCAGUGGCGAACGGGUGAGUAACACGUGAGCAACCUGCCCCUGACUCUGGAAUAAGCGCUGGAAACGGCGUCUAAUACUGGAUACGAGAAGGGUCCGCAUGGGCACUUUCUGGAAAGUUUUUCGGUUGGGGAUGGGCUCGCGGCCUAUCAGCUUGUUGGUGAGGUAAUGGCUCACCAAGGCGACGACGGGUAGCCGGUCUGAGAGGGCGACCGGCCACACUGGGACUGAGACACGGCCCAGACUCCUACGGGAGGCAGCAGUGGGGAAUAUUGCACAAUGGGCGAAAGCCUGAUGCAGCGACGCCGCGUGAGGGAUGACGGCCUUCGGGUUGUAAACCUCUUUCAGCAGGGAAGAAGCGAAAGUGACGGUACCUGCAGAAGAAGCACGGGCUAACUACGUG
rnacentral:rRNA from 1 species